GUGCUCGCUUCGGCAGCACAUAUACUAAAAUCGGAAUGGUACAGACAAGAUACAGACAAGAUUGGCAUGGCCCCUGCACAAGGAUGACAUGCAAAUUCGUGAAGGGUUCCAUGUUUUU
rnacentral:snRNA from 1 species